rnacentral:rRNA from 1 species
AGAGUUUGAUCAUGGCUCAGGACGAACGCUGGCGGCGUGCCUAAAACAUGCAAGUCGAACGAGGUCCAUCCAGUGGCAACACUGGUGAAGACCUAGUGGCGAACGGGUGAGUAACACGUGAGGAACCUGCCCCGAAGACCGGGAUAACCCUCCGAAAGGAGAGCUAAUACCGGAUACCCCCACCGAAUCGCAUGGUUCGGUGAGGAAAUGGAUUCCGCUUCGGGAGGGCCUCGCGGCCUAUCAGCUUGUUGGUGGGGUAACGGCCUACCAAGGCAUCGACGGGUAGCUGGUCUGAGAGGACGAUCAGCCACACUGGGACUGAGACACGGCCCAGACUCCUACGGGAGGCAGCAGUUAGGAAUCUUGCGCAAUGGGCGAAAGCCUGACGCAGCAACGCCGCGUGGGGGACGAAGGCUCUCGGGUUGUAAACCCCUUUCAGUGGGGACGAAUCAAGACGGUACCCACAGAAGAAGCCCCGGCCAACUACGUGCCAGCAGCCGCGGUAACACGUAGGGGGCAAGCGUUGUCCGGAUUUAUUGGGCGUAAAGAGCUCGUAGGCGGUUCGCUAAGUCGGGUGUGAAACCUCCAGGCUCAACCUGGAGACGCCACCCGAUACUGGUGUGACUCGAGUCCGGUAGGGGAGCGUGGAAUUCCUGGUGUAGCGGUGAAAUGCGCAGAUAUCAGGAGGAACACCAGCGGCGAAGGCGGCGCUCUGGGCCGGAACUGACGCUGAGGAGCGAAAGCGUGGGUAGCAAACAGGAUUAGAUACCCUAGUAGUCC